rnacentral:misc_RNA from 1 species
UAACAGAAUGAUGGUUAAAAACUUAUCGAGGAAAGCCAAAAAGUUUAUGAAGAGAACUUAAGGGGUAACAGGGCUUGGUGCACUCAUUAUACAUUCCAAUGAGGACCAAAUCAUUGUCCAGUUGGAACAAUAUCCAAAUGAAGUUGAUAGACAUGCUAUGGUUGGAAUUAGAAGAAUUAUCAGAAAGGAUUAUACACUUUGAAGCAUACGUGGUAGUUGCAAUUUUAUUUAACGAGUAAUUAGUAGUUUCUCAUGCAGCAGUAGGCCUGUUCUUUUGUUUAAUUCCGUAUAUAAAAGGAAAGAUAGGAAGCCAUGAACCAUGUAUUGAACUUACCACAGUGAAAUUUAGGUGGUUUGUGAAUGAUGUACCUGUACUGCAAAAAGAUUUGAAAGCUGUAGCAUGUAGAUAAAACUGUACACUUCAAAGUUGUGUAUUACUGGUUAUAACUAUGGAAAUGGCCAUUUAACCUAGUUAAUAUACACUAUUCUGGGUGAUUAUACAUUCG